GGGACAGAGAAUGCUGUGGUCCGGCUGUCUGUUCCUUUAUUCUUAAUAAUAAUAAAACUCACCCUUUGCAAUGUCAAGUACAGCGGCUGGGGGUAGGGAACACUCACCUGUUCUGUGAUUACAGGCUGCAUUCUCUGCAACACAAAAGCAAGCAAACUUUUGAGUGUCUGCCCAGCACUUUGGGAGGCCGAGGCGGGUGGAUCACCUGAGGUCAGGAGUUUGAGACCAGCCUGGCCAACAUGAUGAAACUCUGUUUCUACUAAAAAUACAAAAACUUAGCUGGGUGUGGUGAUGGGUGCCCAUAAUCCCAGCUACUCGGGAGGCUGAGGCAGGAGAAUCACUUGAACCCGGGAGGCAGAGGUUGCAGUGA
rnacentral:lncRNA from 10 species